ACCUCAGUGCACUCCUGAAGGGCAGGGACUACGUCCGCACCUUCCAGAACGCUAGGACACAGACCAGGCUCUAGAAGCCCGGGGAAACCCCAGAUGCAUGCAUACUGUUUUGCAUGCAAUAAAAACAUCUUUUCUUUUUCUUCCUCAGAAUAGUAAAGAACCUUGACUUCAUUGUCUAUAAGUUUGACAACUAUGGGAAAACAUUCAUUAAGAAGCAGAAAUGCAGCCCUGAUGCCUUCAUCCAGGUGGCCCUCCAGCUGGCCUUCUACAGGCUCCACCGAAGACUGGUGCCCACCUACGAGAGCGCGUCCAUCCGCCGAUUCCAGGAGGGACGCGUGGACAACAUCAGAUCGGCCACUCCAGAGGCACUGGCUUUUGUGAGAGCCAUGACUGACCACAAGGCUGCUGUGCCAGCUUCUGAGAAGCUUCUGCUCCUGAAGGAUGCCAUCCAUGCCCAGACUGCGUACACAGUCAUGUUAUUCCAAGGUGGCGAAAAGAGGGGUGAGUUGACUGUUCACAGGGAAGCUGCUUCUAUGGACCAACAGAAAUCAGGAAUUAAAUAGAGGAAACCAGAGAAAUUAAAAGAGUAGUCUCCUUCAUAGAUGGGCUCACCGUUCUUUCCUUCUGUCCUAACAGGCCAUAACAGGGAUGGCCAUUGACAACCACCUGCUGGCACUGCGGGAGCUGGCCCGGGCCAUGUGCAAGGAGCUGCCCGAGAUGUUCAUGGAUGAAACCUACCUGAUGAGCAACCGGUUUGUCCUCUCCACUAGCCAGGUGCCCACAACCACGGAGAUGUUCUGCUGCUAUGGUCCUGUGGUCCCAAAUGGGUAUGGUGCCUGCUACAACCCCCAGCCAGAGACCAUCCUUUUCUGCAUCUCCAGCUUUCACAGCUGCAAAGAGACUUCUUCUAGCAAGUUUGCAAAAGCUGUGGAAGAAAGCCUCAUUGACAUGAGAGACCUCUGCAGUCUGCUGCCGCCUACUGAGAGCAAGCCAUUGGCAACAAAGGAAAAAGCCACGAGGCCCAGCCAGGGACACCAACCUUGACUCCUGCCACUAGGUUUCAUCUCCCAAACCCA
rnacentral:sRNA from 1 species